rnacentral:lncRNA from 1 species
AUCAGAAGUUUUUUAAUCUCAGCGGAGUUCUAGCUCCCUUGCAGAGAUCGCAGCUUGACAGUUGAAGAUGACUCUUUUUUUCUCUCAAGACUCUUUUAAAGAAGAAGCAUAAGAGGAUGAAGAUCUCUAUGCUGGAGAUUAUGAGAACACUUUCUUCUCUUUCUUCCAUACAUAAGAGAGAACGUUUCUCCCUUCAAAAUUCCGGAUCCUUCUUUUUUUUCCUCCCUUUUCACGCCAUAGAAGAAAACCUUUUUCUUCUUUUCUUCCAUGCCUCCAAGUAGGAAAUCUUCCUCUCCCUUUUCCAUGCACAAGAAGGAAGACUCUUCUUCCUUUUCUUCAGCCCAUGAGGAAAACUUUCUUCCUCUCUUUUUCUCAUGCAAACUUCUGAUUUUUCGUCAUGCAAACCAGCAGCCUUUCCAACGUUAAAAACCCCCUUUUAAUUGGCGUGGAUUAGGGCUUGAAGUAGAGAUUGGAUAGCAAUCUUUGGGGCGGCCACAACCCCUGUUUUGUGGGCAUGUAAGAAAGGUGUUUUGGCAAUGGAACUCUUCACGCAAAAUACAAAGAUCGCGUGGGCGUGGAUUGGCAUGGACUUCUUCAAGCU